GGCAGGAGUGGAUGGCGCUCUGUGAGCCUGUGGAGGUGGGAUGUACAGGCUUUGCAGGUUCCUGGUUGAUGCAGUGGAGUAAACAAGAAGAAUGGAGGAUCUGAGAGAAAGAGGAAAGAAACGAGAAGGAAGGCACAGGGAUACAUGGGAUCCAUUCCAGCUGAACCCCGCAGGAGCUGAGAAGGAACAAAAGAGAAG